CGAAAACACGCUGCAUUCAAAUUCAGAACUGCCAAAGGGGGUGGAGUUGCAAUCUACUGCAGAGACAGCCUGCAGAGUGCAGUCAUGCUAUCCAGUGCGUGAGUGCAGAGUUGGAUGGUGAGCCGUGCAUUGCAUGACGUGCAAUUUUGUGCUGUUCCUAUCAGGUACAUUGUUAAAGAUAUUAUAUUGUAUAUUGUAAUUGUAUUAUUUUGGUAACUACAUUGCCCAGUGAACAAGCACCAAACCAGCGUGCGUGAGUGCAGAGUUGGAUGGUGAGCCGUGCAUGGCGUGCUAUUUUGUGC
rnacentral:lncRNA from 1 species